AAUGUCACUGCUGAACUUCCACCUUGCUGCUAGGAGAAGGACCUUGGAUCUCCCAUUGCUUUGACUUUCAGAGGAUCAUGUUCCUGUACCUCUGAACCAUCAGAGCAGUGCCAAAGCUGCCCUUUGACAGAUAUCUGGGGAUUCUUCACCAGUGCUGCCUCCACACCAUCCAAGGCAGGGACCCUCUUGGUGAGCUCUUUGCCCUGCUGCCCAAGGAAGGUGACACACGGUGCCCCAACCUUA